rnacentral:rRNA from 1 species
UACGAAGGGGGCUAGCGUUGCUCGGAAUCAUUGGGCGUAAAGGGCGCGUAGGCGGCCUUUUAAGUCGGGGGUGAAAGCCUGUGGCUCAACCACAGAAUUGCCUUCGAUACUGGAUGGCUUGAGACCGGAAGAGGUAAGUGGAACUGCGAGUGUAGAGGUGAAAUUCGUAGAUAUUCGCAAGAACACCAGUGGCGAAGGCGGCUUACUGGUCCGGAUCUGACGCUGAGGCGCGAAAGCGUGGGGAGCAAACAGG